rnacentral:misc_RNA from 1 species
GAUGAAGAACGCAGCGAAAUGCGAUAAGUAAUGUGAAUUGCAGAGUUCAGUGAAUCAUCGAAUCUUUGAACGCACAUUGCGCCCGUUAGUAUUCUGACGGGCAUGCCUGUCCGAGCGUCAUUAUCACCCCUCAAGCCCUCGGCUUGGUGUUGGACGGUUUGGUGGAGGCCCCCUCGGGGGCUCCUGCCCCUCCCAAAGACAAUGACGGCGGCCUCGUUGGACCCCCGGUACACUGAGUUCUUCACGGGACACGUAUCGGACACAUGGGUUUACGGGACUCGGUCUGCCUCCCCUCAGGGAGAAUCUUUCUAAGGUUGACCUCGGAUCAGGUAGGGAUACCCGCUGAACUUAAGCAUAUCAAUAAGCGGAGGA